rnacentral:lncRNA from 1 species
AUUUGACUAGGAUUUGAUUAAGAUUUAAUUAAGAUUUAAGAUUUUAUUAAGAUUUGAUUAGAGUUGAUUUAGGAUUUUAUUAGGAUUUAAUCUAAGAUUAGAAUUUGAUUAAUAUUUGAUUAAGAUUUAAUUAAGAUUUAGGAUUUGAUUAGGAUUUGAUCUAAACUUUAGAAUUGAAGAUUUUAUUAAAUUUAUUAAGAUUUAAUUAGGAAAGAUUUAGGAUUUCAUUAGGAUUAGGUAAAUAUUUGUUUAAGAUUUAUUGAAGGUCAUAUUAAGAAUUGAUUAAGUUUAUAUUUGAAUUUUUUUAAAAUUUUUAUUUUUUUAAUAUUU